UCCCAUGGUGUUUGCUGUUGAUCCAAAG
rnacentral:piRNA from 1 species